rnacentral:rRNA from 1 species
UACGGAGGGUGCAAGCGUUAAUCGGAAUUACUGGGCGUAAAGCGCACGUAGGUGGCGACGUAAGUCGGGUGUGAAAGCCCCGGGCUCAACCUGGGAAUUGCAUUCGAGACUGCAUUGCUGGAGUACGGAAGAGGAGGGCGGAAUUCCCGGUGUAGCGGUGAAAUUCGUAGAUAUUGGGAAGAACACCGGUGGCGAAGACGGCGCUCUGGACCGAGACUGACGCUGAGGCGCGAAAGCGUGGGGAGCAAACAGG